rnacentral:rRNA from 1 species
CCUACGGGAGGCUGCAGUGGGGAAUAUUGCACAAUGGGGGAAACCCUGAUGCAGCGACGCCGCGUGAGUGAAGAAGUAAUUCGUUAUGUAAAGCUCUAUCAGCAGGGAAGAAAAUGACGGUACCUGAGUCAGAACCGCCGGCUAACUACGUGCCAGCAGCCGCGGUAAUACGUAGGGUGCAAGCGGUAUCCGGAUUUACUGGGGGUAAAGGGAGCGUAGACGGCAGUGCAAGUCUGGAGUGAAAGGCGGGGGGUCAACCCCCGGACUGCUCUGGAAACUGUACGGCUGGAGUGCAGGAGAGGUAAGUGGAAUGCCUAGUGUAGCGGUGAAAUGCGUAGAUAUUAGGAGGAACACCAGUGGCGAAGGCGGCUUACUGGACUGUAACUGACGUUGAGGCUCGAAAGCGUGGGGAGCAAACAGGAUUAGAUACCCGGGUAGUC